UACAGAGGUCCCAAGCGUUGUUCGGAAUCACUGGGCGUAAAGGGUGCGUAGGUGGUUGGGUAAGUCUGAUGUGAAAUCUCUGGGCUCAACCCAGAAAUGGCAUUGGAUACUAUCCGGCUAGAGGAGUGGAGGGGGAACUGGAAUACUUGGUGUAGCAGUGAAAUGCGUAGAUAUCAAGUGGAACACCAGUGGCGAAGGCGGUUGCCUGGAGCUUUGCUGACGCUGAUGCGCGAAAGCGUGGGGAGCGAUCCGG
rnacentral:rRNA from 1 species